GACGAACGCUGGCUGCGUGCCUAAUACAUGCAAGUCGAGCGAAUAAACGAGGAUCUUGCUCCUCUUACGUGAGCUGCGGACGGGUGAGUAACACGUAGAUAACCUACCUAUUAGCCUUGGAUAACUUUGGGAAACCAUAGCUAAUACCGGAUAACAUAUUCAACCUCAUGGUUCACUUGUUAAAGACGGAUUUGCUCUACUACAUAGUUGAAUUCCCGUUGCUUUAGCUAGUUUGUAAGGUAACGGCUUACCAAGGCAACGAUGCGUAGCCGACCUGAGAGGGGGAUCGGCCACACUGGAACUGAGACACGGUCCAGACUCCUACGGGAGGCAGCAGUAGGGAAUCUUCCGAAAUGGGCGAAAGCUUGACGGAGCAACGCCGCGUGAGUGAUGAAGGUCUUCGGAUCGUAAAACUCUGUUAUUAGGGAAGAACAAAUGUGUAAGUAACUAUGCACGUCUUGACGGUACCUAAUCAGAAAGCCACGGCUAACUACGUG
rnacentral:rRNA from 1 species